CCUGAAUGUUAAGGGUGAAUCUCCCACAGCUGGAAGGUGGCCCAUCACAGAUUAAGAGCAAGAGUUUUCAGAAUCUAAUAUAAAUUGAUAAUUCAAAUCCAAACCGCUCGACACCCUCUUCAUUCUCUAAAACUGAUUAUCAGCACAAGGAGUAUGUAACCCUAUUAUACUUUAUUCUUCCCCAAACUUAUCUAAUGUGGUUUGUUUGGCUGAAGCUCAGUAUGUUGUAAAAGCACUGUCAUUUCUAUAAGCAAUGGUUUAAUGUGCUAACCAACCCAGUCAAUUAUUUUCCAUCUGAUUAGGUUUAAGCAAACUAUGACUUAAUACAACGUGUGAACACAGCCUUAGCUUGAUGUAUCAUGCGUCCGCAAGACAUUCUUCUACGCUUCUCCAGGUAAUCCGCUUGGGUGCGCGAGAGCACUACCCCCAACGAAACUACAUUUCCCGGGAAACCCCACGCAACCACCCCUCACGUACCGCGCCGCCACGGCCUAGCGUAAGCAACCCGGCAGACGAACUACAUUUCCCGCCGCUCUUUUCUCUCCUGCCCUAAGCGGCGCAUGCGCAGCGGCGAGGCCUGGCUCCUUCACAUCGUCGUUGGAAUCGUAUCGGUGGAUGGUGCGAUCGGGGACUGGUGAGGCGACUUAGCGAUCGCGUGCGACGACCAAGGACUGCGACCGACAGACCGAGAGAGUUUUCACCGCCGCCAUUUCGGUCAGCCCGGCCCCAUGAUUCCCAUAUGCCCGGUAGUUUCUUUCACCUAUGUCCCCAGCCGGCUGGGUGA